rnacentral:rRNA from 1 species
UACAGAGGUCUCAAGCGUUGUUCGGAUUCAUUGGGCGUAAAGGGUGCGUAGGUGGCGCUGUAAGUCAGGUGUGAAAUUUCGGAGCUUAACUCCGAAACUGCAUUUGAUACUGCGGUGCUCGAGGACUGGAGAGGAGACUGGAAUUUACGGUGUAGCAGUGAAAUGCGUAGAGAUCGUAAGGAAGACCAGUGGCGAAGGCGGGUCUCUGGGACAGUU